GCGCCUGUAGCUCAGUUGGAUAGAGCAACGGACUUCUAAUCCGUAGGUCGUAGGUUCGAAUCCUAUCAGGCGCGCCA
rnacentral:tRNA from 10 species